GCUGAUUUCUAAAACCUUGGAGGAAAAAAGAAUUUGAAAGAAGGAAAAUUGGUUGAUUUGCAUAAUUGAAGAAAACCCAGCUUGUGAACACUGAAGCACUAGAAAGCAAAGGUGUCAUUAUCUCAACCACCCAUGUGGAC
rnacentral:lncRNA from 11 species